CACGUAGUUAGCCGUGGCUUUCUGAUUAGGUACCGUCAAGAUGUGCACAGUUACUUACACAUUUGUUCUUCCCUAAUAACAGAGUUUUACGAGCCGAAACCCUUCAUCACUCACGCGGCGUUGCUCCGUCAGGCUUUCGCCCCAUUGCGGAAGAUUCCCUACUGCUGCCUCCCGUAGGAGUCUGGACCGUGUCUCAGUUCCAGUGUGGCCGAUCACCCUCUCAGGUCGGCUACGUAUCGUCGCCUUGGUAAGCCGUUACCUUACCAACUAGCUAAUACGGCGCGGGUCCAUCUAUAAGUGAUAGCAAAACCAUCUUUCACUUUAGAACCAUGCGGUUCUAAAUGUUAUCCGGUAUUAGCUCCGGUUUCCCGAAGUUAUCCCAGUCUUAUAGGUAGGUUACCCACGUGUUACUCACCCGUCCGCCGCUAACUUCAAAGGAGCAAGCUCCUUAUCUGUUCGCUCGACUUGCAUGUAUUAGGCACGCCGCCAGCGUUCAUCCUGAGCCAGGAUCAAACUCU
rnacentral:rRNA from 1 species